AUCACCUGGGGAUCUUGUUAAAAUGCAGAUUCUGAUUCAAUAGGUUUGGUGCGAGCCUGAGAUUCUGCAUUUUUAAUGAACUCCAGUUGAUGCCAA
rnacentral:pre_miRNA from 1 species